CUAGCCUGGGGAGAGACAUGUUGUCUGUAACCUGUAACUAGCCUAGGGAGAGACAUGUUGUCUGUAAACUGUAACUAGCCUGGGGAGAGACAUGUUGUCUGUAACCUGUAUCUAGCCUAGGGAGAGACAUGUUGUCUGUAACCUGUAACUAGCCUGGGGAGAGACAUGUUGUCUGUAACCUGUAACUAGCCUGGGGAGAGACAUGUUGUCUGUAACCUGUAACUAGCCUAGGGAGAGACAUGUUGUCUGUAACCUGUAUCUAGCCUAGGGAGAGACAUGUUGUCUGUAACCUGUAACUAGCCUGGGGAGGGACAUGUUGUCUGUAACCUGUAACUAGCCUAGGGAGAGACAUGUUGUCUGUAACCUGUAACUAGCCUAGGGAGAGACAUGUUGUCUGUAACCUGUAACUAGCCUAGGGAGAGACAUGUUGUCUGUAACCUGUAACUAGCCUAGGGAGAGACAUGUUGUCUGUAACCUGUAACUAGCCUGGGGAGAGACAUGUUGUCUGUAACCUGUAACUAGCCUAGGGAGAGACAUGUUGUCUGUAACCUGUAACUAGCCUGGGGAGAGACAUGUUGUCUGUAACCUGUAACUAGCCUGGGGAGAGACAUGUUGUCUGUAACCUGUAACUAGCCUGGGGAGAGACAUGUUGUCUGUAACCUGUAACUAGCCUAGGGAGAGACCUGGCUGGCUUGCUUUAUUUAAAUGAAUGUAAUACACAUUGUUAUAUCCUUCUGGUUAAAUCCCAAAUGGCACCCUAUUCCCUACAUAGUGCACUACUUUUGACCAGGUCCCAUAGUGCUCUGUUCAAAAGUAGUGCACUUUAUAGGGAAUAGGGUGCCAUUUGGGCCAAAUAUAGGAUAAUUUGACUGUAGCCUUCUGCGUUGAGCAGAGACAACUUUUUCCUUGUUGGCACUUUAUCUGUUGGUUAGUAGGUGUUAUUAUAUUAUUGAACCUCUGGAGCCAUACGCUAUUGGGUUAGUCAGGCUGAUCAGCAAGUCUCAAUAAGGUGUUGGGAUCAACAAGUCUCAAUAAGGUGUUGGGAUCAACAAGUCUCAAUAAGGUGUUGGGUUAGUCAGACUGAUCAGCAAGUCUCAAUAAGGUGUUGGGUUAGUCAGGCUGAUCAACAAGUCUCAAUAAGGUGUUGGGUUAGUCAGACUGAUCAGAAAGUCUCAAUAAGGUGUUGGGAUCAACAAGUCUCAAUAAGGUGUUGGGAUCAACAAGUCUCAAUAAGGUGUUGGGUUAGUCAGACUGAUCAGCAAGUCUCAAUAAGGUGUUGGGUUAGUCAGGCUGAUCAACAAGUCUCAAUAAGGUGUUGGGUUAGUCAGACUGAUCAGCAAGUCUCAAUAAGGUGUUGGGUUAGUCAGGCUGAUCAACAAGUCUCAAUAAGGUGUUGGGUUAGUCAGGCUGAUCAGAAAGUCUCAAGCCUCAAACACCUUAGUAAUAUAUUCUGUCCAUGGACUCAUGUUACUCAUUUUCACUGGGGGGUGCGUCCCAAAUGUCAACUCAUUCUACAUUUGACCAGGGCCCAUAUGGGGGAAUAGGAAGUCAUUAAUGACCAGGGCCCAUAUGGGGGAAUAGGAAGUCAUUAAUGACCAGGGCCCAUAUGGGGGAAUAGGAAGUCAUUAAUGACCAGGGCCCAUAUGGGGGAAUAGUGUGUUCUCAGAAGGUGAAGCCAGUAGUGGCCUACUGGGCCGAGGCUUUGAUGUUGCUUUCCUGUGGCGUUACUUCUUUAUUUUAUCCUUGGUGGGGUUUAUUUUAUGUAAAUCAAGGAGACGUGCUUUUGAUUUGUCUGUUGAGUGUAAGGGGUUGUCCCAAAUGUCACCCUAUUCCCUAUGUAGUGCAUUACUAUGGGCCCUAUUCCCUAUGUAGUGCGCUACUAUGGGCCCUAUUCCCUAUGUAGUGCGCUACUAUGGGCCCUAUUCCCUAUGUAGUGCGCUACUAUGGGCCCUAUUCCCUAUGUAGUGCGCUACUAUGGGCCCUAUUCCCAAUGUAGUGCGCUACUAUGGGCCCUAUUCCCUAUGUAGUGCGCUACUAUGGGCCCUAUUCCCUAUGUAGUGCGCCACUAUGGGCCCUAUUCCCUAUGUAGUGCGCCACUAUGGGCCCUAUUCCCUAUGUAGUGCGCUACUGUGGGCCCUAUUCCCUAUGUAGUGCUCUACUAUGGGCCCUAUUCCCUAUGUAGUGCUCUACUAUGGGCCCUAUUCCCUAUGUAGUGCUCUACUAUGGGCCCUAUUCCCUAUGUAGUGCACUAUAAAUGGAAUAAGGUGCCAUUAGGGAGACAAGCCAUCUCAGAACAUACGCUGUUAAACCAUUGAGUACAUAACUGUGCUGUUACAUAUUUAUAUAAUUUGUAAGUAUGCAUAUUGUAAUUAUUUUAUAUUUGUAUACAUGCACUAGUUUAUAAGUGUGCAUUAUUUUUUCGGGACAUGAAUCAAACUGACGUGUAAAAAAGUUGAAAAAAAUAAAGUACUUUUUUUGUUAACCUGUCUCUGUCUGUUUGUCUGGUCUGUUUGUCUGGUCUGUUUGUCUGGUCUGUUUGUCUGGUCUGUUUGUCUGGUCUGUUUGUCUGGUUUGGUCUGUCUGGUCUGUCUGUCUGGUCUGGUCUGUUUGUCUGGUUUGGUCUGUUUGUCUGGUUUGGUCUGUCUGGUCUGUCUGUCUGGUCUGUCUGUGUCUGGUUUGGUCUGUUUGUCUGGUCUGUCUGUCGAUCUUUGGCCAGGAUUCAAUCCAAGGCACGUUACAGGUCGACACUCUAAACAGCCGACAACGCUCCUCUAAAGGCAAUGUCCCCAGCGUUCACGGAGAUCACAUUCAUGGUUGUAGGUCUUCCAGCAGGACGAUGACCCCAAACACACAUCAAAAAGCACCCAGGAAUGGUUCAAGAAGAAACUCCAGACUGUUCUGGAGUGGCCAGCGAAGAGUCCAGACCUGAAUCCCAUCCAAAACCAAUGGAGAGAUUUGGAAAAAGCAUUUGGUGGAGGGCACCCCUCAAACAUUGAAGAAUUAGAGCAGUCUGGUGCUGAAAAGCGGGCCAAAUUGCUAGUAGAGGUCCAGCAAUUCCCCAGAACUGCCUCGACACAAUCCUGUUUCCUGCCCAAUGAAGUGAAUUUACCACAGGUGGACUCCAAUCAAGUUGUAGAAACAUCUCAAGGAUGAUCAAUGGAAACAGGAUGCACCUGAGCUCAGUUUCGAGCCUCAUAGGAAAGAAUCUGAAUACUUAUGUAAAUAAUAUAUAUAUAUAUAUAUAAAUAUCUUUUUUUAUAUAUAUAUAUAAAUUAGCAAACAUUUCAAAAAAAAAACUAUUUUUGCUUUGUCAUUAUGGGGUAUUGUGUGUAG
rnacentral:lncRNA from 1 species